rnacentral:rRNA from 1 species
CGAGUUAUCUGAACCUUCGGGGAACGAUAACGGCGUCGAGCGGCGGACGGGUGAGUAAUGCCUAGGAAAUUGCCCUGAUGUGGGGGAUAACCAUUGGAAACGAUGGCUAAUACCGCAUAACGCCUACGGGCCAAAGAGGGGGACCUUCGGGCCUCUCGCGUCAGGAUAUGCCUAGGUGGGAUUAGCUAGUUGGUGAGGUAAGGGCUCACCAAGGCGACGAUCCCUAGCUGGUCUGAGAGGAUGAUCAGCCACACUGGAACUGAGACACGGUCCAGACUCCUACGGGAGGCAGCAGUGGGGAAUAUUGCACAAUGGGCGCAAGCCUGAUGCAGCCAUGCCGCGUGUGUGAAGAAGGCCUUCGGGUUGUAAAGCACUUUCAGUCGUGAGGAAGGUAGUGUAGUUAAUAGCUGCAUUAUUUGACGUUAGCGACAGAAGAAGCACCGGCUAACUCCGUGCCAGCAGCCGCGGUAAUACGGAGGGUGCGAGCGUUAAUCGGAAUUACUGGGCGUAAAGCGCAUGCAGGUGGUUUGUUAAGUCAGAUGUGAAAGCCCGGGGCUCAACCUCGGAAUUGCAUUUGAAACUGGCAGACUAGAGUACUGUAGAGGGGGGUAGAAUUUCAGGUGUAGCGGUGAAAUGCGUAGAGAUCUGAAGGAAUACCGGUGGCGAAGGCGGCCCCCUGGACAGAUACUGACACUCAGAUGCGAAAGCGUGCGGAGCAAACAGGAUUAGAUACCCUGGUAGUCCACGCCGUAAACGAUGUCUACUUGGAGGUUGUGGCCUUGAGCCGUGGCUUUCGGAGCUAACGCGUUAAGUAGACCGCCUGGGGAGUACGGUCGCAAGAUUAAAACUCAAUGAAUUGACGGGGGCCCGCACAAGCGGUGGAGCAUGUGGUUUAAUUCGAUGCAACGCGAGAUCUUACCUACUCUGACAUCAGAGAACUUCAGAGAUGGAUGUGCUCGGGACUCUGAGACAGUGCUGCAUGCCUGUCGUCAGCUCUGUUGUGAAAUGGUGGUUAGGUCCGCAACGAGCGCAAUCAUAUCCUGAUGCAGCAGUACGUCGGACUCAGAACUGCGUCAUAACCGGAGAAGU